CCGUUUCCCAUCUCUACCUAUCCCGGUUCCAUCUUCUCCCUGGGCGCGUACGUCUUCCACACCGAGCGCCGCCCCUGCUGCCCCGUUCCCCUGCGUCGCCGAGCGCCGCCCCUGCUCCGCGCGUCGCUGAGCGCCGCCCCUGCUGCCCCGUUCCCCUUCCUACCUGCUGCAGCCGGACCCGUUCCCCAUCCUCCUCGCACGCUUCUUCUUCCACCGAGCGCCGCCCCUGCCGCCGAGCGCGACGCCCCCGUCGCCACGCCAUCGAUCGCCUCCAUCGCCUUCGCGCCGCCCCCGCCGCCGCGCAUCCGAGCCCUCGCGCCGCCAUCGCCUACUGGUCUCCAUCCUCGCUGUGCUGUCACCGAGCCGCCGCCGUCGUGCCGUCAGCGAGACGCUACGCCGCGCGCGCACCGUUGACGUGCAGGUACUCCCACUGCAGGUGCGCUCUCUCCCCACCACUCGUUCCCGUUACCCUUCGCCAUAUCGUCCUUGUGCGUGCGAAUACCUUCAGAGGCGGCAACGGAGUGCAGGAGCAAAGGUGGUCACCUCGUUCUGAUUCUCAUCUCUGAGCAACGUGCGAGUUUAGGAGGUGGCCUUCACGCAGACCAUCGCCUCUGGAUCGCUCACCUCUCUCCUUCUUACCUCUAAAUCGCUGGCAGGUGAUUAUCUCUAGCCUCUCACCUUUGAAUUGCUCGUACUCGUGUUGUCUUCAUGUAUGGAUUUUUGUUUUGCAACAAGCCAAUUGCAAUUUGUUUUUACUAUACUGUGUACUAGCCAGUAUGAUGUACAGGUGUUCUGUACUGUGUAGUAGUAUGCUACAAAUACAUGAGUUGAUCAAGCUGAGUCAUCAUAUACUUUGUCGUAGUAUGUUACAGUAGUAUGAUGUACAGGUGCCUACAAGCUGAAGCUCCAUGUCAACCCAAUACCAUCUCGCAUAUAAAUUAAUGGAUGUACUGUGUAGUAGUAUGAUGUACCGAUGGAUGGCUUGUGUUUUCAGUAACCUGGUUAUAAAUUAAAGGAUCCAGGAGUCAUUAGUCUCUAGUUGCGUCCACUGAAUUGUGUUUUGAGUAAUACUAGAAGUGUGUUGUAUCACUAGACGAGGCUUAGGAGUUAAAUUUGUGGAGUGAAAACAUGCAAGCUGGCAAAUAUCAUUGGAUACUUUGUCAAAGGAAAAUCAGUUUCAUUAGCUCAUUCAAAUUGGAGCAAGGUUCCCAAAAGUAGCAAAGAGAAUUUAUGAGCAUCUGUUAAGGAAUUUUUCAAUAUUGAUGAGCUUUACAAGCCAUGGGUGCUAAUAUCAGCAAGUAAAAAAGGGAAAGACUUCAAGGUUGUUUUAAAGAGGAAGUACUUCAAUUCAGAUUUGUCAAUUGUGCGAAAUAUUUCCAAUGGUUGUGAACAUAGAAUCCCCCCAGAUCAAUGGGAGACGUUGGUCAGGUAUUGGAAAACAGAUAAUGCUAAGGCUAAAUCUGAUCAACUGAAAGCAAACCGAGCUACACAGGAAAAUAGGAAGCACACAACAGGAUCACGAAGUUUUGCUUAUGUCCUUGACCAAAAGGAGCUCAAAGAGGGCAUCAAAGUUGGGCGCGCUGAGUUGUAUAGCAUUACACAUACAAAAAAAGAUGGAACUCCGGUUGAUAUGUAUAGUGGUGCUAAAAUGACAAAUGAAACUGGAGAUAUAGUACCACUGGUUCCAGGACAUCAGUUCUUGUUGUCUUCAUCUCGUUCUUAUUCCUUCGCAUCGAGCUCAACUGAACUAUUGCCAUCCAGAUGUAUCAAAGAUGCAAAUGGAUCAUGAACGUGGAUUGUAGAGAUCAAGCAAUGUAAACAUGCUGCUCAUGCCACUUUCGCACUCUAUGUUGUUCAUAGAUCCUUGGCAUGUUGUCUUAUUUAGUACUAUGGAUUCUUGGUCAUGUACUUCGAUGCAUUUCAGAAAUUGUAUCAUAAAUCUGGGAAUUCUAUGUAGUAGUAUUUUUAACAAUGCCUAAAAUGAUCAUAUAUUGAAGGUCAUCAGAAACGAACCACUUGUUCAGGCUACUUUGUCUACAUUGUUUUGAAAAGCAGAAGAAAGAAAGAGACCAUGCAUAUAAUUCUAUCUUUAUUAGUUAAUGGUAGACACAAAAGUUUGCAAAGUGAUGUAUGGAGCUCUUUGUUUGGAUCUACGAAGAUGAACAGUAGUUAUUAUCAUAGUAACCCCUCUGCCACUACUUACUAGGAGACAGUUAUUCCCUUAACUUUAACUCAACUUUCUUAAUGCAUUGAAGAGACAGACACAAUCCACAGUUUUUUUUUUGGAAUUAUCUGUUUGGUUGUCUUAAAUAUCGACAAAUUUAACUCAGCAUGUGGUAAAAAUUUAUCAACAGUCACUACUUUCAUGUGUUCACGUUAUCUUAUCAAUGGAUGCUGCUAUUUAAUUCUACAAUGCCUUUAGCUAACCAUCUCAUUCUGUUUGGAUCUAACGUGAGUGUGGUACCAGCAACAAGGGGACUGAGAUAUUGAUAGCUGCAAACCUUCAGGAAUCAGUGUGCUCAUAGCUAAACGAGGAGGUUUAUAUAUCCAUCUAAAUUCAAAGUGUCAUAUGGUGUUACAAUCUACUCCCUCCGAUCCAUAAUAAGUGUCUCAGGUUUAGUACAACUUUUUAUUAACUUUUUACUAAAUCUGAGACACUUAUUAUGGAUCGGAGGGUGUAUCAUCCAGUUUUCCUCCCAUCUUUGGCUAUGCCUCUUCUCUUAUGUCUUUUUCAGUUAGCACUAUACAUAUGCUUGGCAUGUGUAUGAAGUAAUGACUAAGAGUAGCAGCAUUACUGUAAGAUAGGUUGGUUAAUCCAGAGCUUCAAAAUCUGUGGUACUUCUACUAACUACUAAAGAAAAUGCAGCCAUCUGUCUUCACAACCUUAUGUUUCUUGUCAGGCUUGAUUAUGCCUUUAUUUGGGGCUCACUGGUAUAUGUAUUCAUGGCGAGGAAGAGUUAAUUAAGAACAGAAAAAACUGAUUGCUUAUCUGUUAGUUGCUGGGAUCAAUAGAAUAUUCAACUCUUGUGAAAUUGAUAAAUGUUCUAUACGUCUAAGAUAGACUUUCAUUGAUGAAUGUUCACAGAACAUACUUUGUCAACAUAUUUCCUCCCCGCCAUUUUGAAUGUAUUGACUUUACCUUUGCAUUAUAAUUGCAUAUUCCACUCGAUUCUUUAUUAUCCAAAUAGGACCUGAUAUGGAAAGUUAGAGUAGUUCCAUUGAGCUGGCGUGCUCUCCAAGUUACAAGGUUGUAUGAUGGUUCAAAUGGGCGUAAGAGUAUAUAGAUGCAUUUCUCCUUUUUGAUCACCAGAAGAGAGCGCCGCUCAUUCAAACUUCCCAUUUCUAUUUAAGAGCCAUAGCUCAUAUGCCUCUUAGGUUUGCCAUCUGUAAUUCAAGUUCACUGAGUGAUAAAAGAUACAAUGACAUUUAUUGCACCCUCUUUGUCAUACUUGAGGUACCAUCUUUCUCUUUCUCUAUGGUGUUCAAACACAAAACGAGCCGCUUUUGGCAUGCCAGUACCAGGUGAUGUACCAAUUCUAUAUUCAACCUUAUAUAGGGUAAAAAAUAUGUGCUGUCUAGAAAGGACGCACCAGAUGUCAGGUAAUCAGAUAUGGUUAUCAUUUUCUGAUGCUUUUCAUGUACUUUGACAACAGUUGAUUAUUUGCUAAGGGAUAGAACACUAGUUUGGUUUCUGCUUGUUACUUUGACAACAGUUGAUUAUUUCCAGUGCUUUUGAUGAGCAAACUUUUGAGUGUCUGGAAUGGAUUACUGUCCUUGGUUUAAUGUUGUAUAUGCUCCCAUUUCCUUAUUCUGUGUUGCAGCUUCAACAUCCAGACAGCCUUGCUUGAAAUCAAAAUAUCAAUAUUCAGAACAGGCAUGGGAGCAAGGGAACUAAUGCUGCUAUUCCUGAUACACCAUUGCUUGGGGCUGUUGGUGUGCUGGAUGUCUUUGGAGAUGAAUACGGUGGAUUGGUAGUCGAUCCAAUAUUUUUACCAAAUACAUCAAACGCCUUUUCUGCAUCACUGCAGUCCUCACUAUUUUAUUGGAGUCAGCAGGUAAUAUAUGUUCUCAUCACUUAAUACUUAGUCAGCAUCAGGCGUUUCUGAGAGAGCACAAUAUUUCAUAAAAUGAAGGGUUACUCGAUACCACUAUUCCUCGGAUGGAAAAAAAGUUUACCCUUUCAA